rnacentral:rRNA from 1 species
GAUGAACGCUGGCGGCGUGCUUAACACAUGCAAGUCGAACGGGAAUUACUUUAUUGAAACUUCGGUCGAUAUGAUUUAAUUCUAGUGGCGGACGGGUGAGUAACGCGUGGGUAACCUGCCUUGUACAGGGGGAUAACAGUCAGAAAUGACUGCUAAUACCGCAUAAGCGCACAGAGCUGCAUGGCUCGGUGUGAAAAACUCCGGUGGUAUAAGAUGGACCCGCGUUGGAUUAGCUAGUUGGUGAGGUAACGGCCCACCAAGGCGACGAUCCAUAGCCGGCCUGAGAGGGUGAACGGCCACAUUGGGACUGAGACACGGCCCAGACUCCUACGGGAGGCAGCAGUGGGGAAUAUUGCACAAUGGGGGAAACCCUGAUGCAGCGACGCCGCGUGAAGGAAGAAGUAUCUCGGUAUGUAAACUUCUAUCAGCAGGGAAGAAAAUGACGGUAC